rnacentral:rRNA from 1 species
UGGGCAACCUGCCCCUCUCUCUGGGAUAACCCCGGGAAACCGGAGCUAAUACCGGAUAUGACGCACUCUCGCAUGGGAUGUGUGUGGAAAGUUUUUCGGCCAGGGAUGGGCUCGCGGCCUAUCAGCUUGUUGGUGGGGUAACGGCCUACCAAGACGACGACGGGUAGCCGGCCUGAGAGGGCGACCGGCCACACUGGGACUGAGACACGGCCCAGACUCCUACGGGAGGCA